rnacentral:rRNA from 1 species
UGGGGAAUAUUGCACAAUGGGCGCAAGCCUGAUGCAGCCAUGCCGCGUGUGUGAAGAAGGCCUUCGGGUUGUAAAGCACUUUCAGCGAGGAGGAAGGUGGUGAGCUUAAUACGCUCAUCAAUUGACGUUACUCGCAGAAGAAGCACCGGCUAACUCCGUGCCAGCAGCCGCGGUAAUACGGAGGGUGCAAGCGUUAAUCGGAAUUACUGGGCGUAAAGCGCACGCAGGCGGUUUGUUAAGUCAGAUGUGAAAUCCCCGGGCUCAACCUGGGAACUGCAUUUGAAACUGGCAAGCUAGAGUCUCGUAGAGGGGGGCUAGAAUUCCAGGUGUAGCGGUGAAAUGCGUAGAGAUCUGGAGGAAUACCGGUGGCGAAGGCGGCCCCCCUGGACGAAGACUGACGCUCAGGUGCGAAAGCGUGGGGCAGCAAACAGGAUUAGAUACCCUGGUAGUCCACGCUGUAAACGAUGUCGAUUUGGAGGUUGUGCCCUUGAGGCGUGGCUUCCGGAGCUAACGCGUUAAAUCGACCGCCUGGGGAGUACGG